AACUGAUGAUCAACUAUCAGUCUGUUUAAUGGGGAACAAACUAGUGGAAAAUGGUUUUACAUGCAGCGAAUGAAAGAUUUUUACUUACUGCACCAGCUGACAUGACAAAGUAUCUGCUGCAAAAUGUGCUGGGAGAGCAAGAACCACCACCUGGUGACCAAUGAUCAGAAUAACACCUGACAGGAACUGUUUUUAUGCCCCUACGGUAGAUAAAAACAUGAUGAAGUGCCCUUUACACAGUCCAGCCACAGUGGAAAACACGAAGAAGGACCCGAGUUCACCACUGCUGUGCAAAUUAUUGGGGACACCUCACCUGCUGUUGUCUGGAAGAUCCAGGUAAAACAAAUUAUGAGUCAUUAAUGGCCCUGAUUAAGUCUGCACCAAUCACAGAGGAGCAGAAGUAUGCUUUGACCAAACUGAGGAGGGACGUGCAAAGAAGAAAAACUACAAAAAAGGGAAAAGUCUGAGUGGAGAUGAAAAGCAUCAGCCAUGAGAAAGCCCCAACGGUCGACCUCGUCUCUUAAAACCAGAAGAAUGAACGUGAGAACCGAGUCUGCACAUACAUCAUCCUACUGUCGGAACAAGAAGAUAAAGACUGCCUGGAGGUGGACUGACCAGACAAGUUCUGUGGAAACUUUAAUAUCAAAACACUGGAAGCUCACGGUCACCUACAGAUGACACCCAGCAGGUGGCAGGGUCCGCCUCAGAGACACUUAAUUGCUUUCAGAACACCAACAAGCUUCCUUACGUUAUUUUUUCCCACUGCUGAUCAGUCACCGCUUCAGAAAAGGCCAUUAAACCCUGAGUAGUCACAUUCUUUAGCUCUUCUUGGAGGCACUAUCAUAAUCAUUUCCUCUUCCUGAGUGGCAGCUCUCUGCAUUGUUUAACUUGUCGUGGGCAAACAGUGAACUCACGGGCCGGCGUGUGUUUACUGUAGGAUUCCACUUCACCAGAGGAGACAAUGGCGGCGUGGCACUCACACAGAGACAUGCCUUUCAAGACGCCGAGGCAACACACACUGGGGAGCAUUAAAUAAG